UACAGAGGGGGCAAGCGUUAUUCGGAAUUAUUGGGCGUAAAGAGCGUGUAGGCGGCCAAACAGGUCCGUUGUGAAAACUGGAGGCUCAACCUCCAGACGUCGACGGAAACCGUGUGGCUAGAGUCCGGAAGAGGAGAGUGGAAUUCCUGGUGUAGCGGUGAAAUGCGCAGAUAUCAGGAAGAACACCAAUGGCGAAGGCAGCUCUCUGGGCCGAUACUGACGCUGAGGAGCGAAAGCGUGGGGAGCGAACAGG
rnacentral:rRNA from 1 species